rnacentral:lncRNA from 1 species
CGGCUGUGAUUAAAAGCCAUCAAAUGGCCAAGAUUCGAUCUCAAGAGAAAUCAAAAGACGCAACGAUCUAACGGCUAGAAAGCCUCCUCGUAAAGCGAAGCAAUUAAUGUCUUUUCCCUAGGCAAUAAUUGCGUCUCUUCAUAGCCCACACACGUGGCUUGAAAAGGCGAAACGCUUGUCUUUUCAGGUCACUUCAAACUGACGAUGCGCUCCUCGAGGAACUCAUCGUUAUCCCCAACGCAAAUAUCUCAUCGACGUUUCG